AGAGGCUUCCGGCGCUGGGCCCGGCCGCUGCAAGCCUUGUUGGGUCAGUGUGUGGGAAGUCGCCAAGGUGGAGUUUGAGGCGGUCGGCCUCAACCAUGAGGGCUGUGUGAGCGGCAGGCUGGCCGUGAGCCUUCCAGGGAGUGCUGGGCGGCCUGGUGCCCUGGCUGAGGGCAAGCGGCCACCCUGAGACACCCAAAGACUGGCUGACACAAGAUCUUGUGCUGGUACUGGUGGCUGAAGGCUGUGCAGUGGUGCGGACACAGGUUCAGAGCUCCCAAGUGGACCAAGGCUCUGAUACUGGCUGCCACCUGCCUGGGAGCAGACUCAUAGAGGCCAGCGCAGGGCAGCAGGACAGCGCCCUCAGCAGUGAUGAGGAGUCUCUCCAUGAAGGCUGUCCCUCAAGGCACUGCAGCAGGCCACCGUCGCCCUUGUCAUUGGGAGCACCGUGAGAAUCCCGAGGAACACUUCAAUGUCCAGGUGUGAUGAUGUCAAGCCACCACAAGCCAGGAGGGAAGUGCCUGCUGGGGCCAAGACAGCAGGUGAAGCAGAACCCUUAAGCCUCAGCUCUUCACCCCUGGACGAAGGAGGUGUUUCUUGGCGGACAAACUCGGGAGACUCACCAGAAAAGACCUUGAUAGAUGAUGCAAGUUUUGCUCGCUGGAGACCACAAGAGCGUUCACUCGUGCCUCACAGUGUGGGUGAGGAGAGCAGCCUGGACCAGCUCCCAAGAGAUAUGUUUAACAGUGAGUCAUGCACACAGGCAGGAAGCAGCACUACAGUCACCAGGAGACAUUUUACAUAAAACUGGCAACAUAAUACUGCUGCUGGCCAGAAUGGAGGUCAGGCUUAAGCAGGAUCCCAGCAAAGUGCUCUCUUUACUUCUUUUUGUGAUUUUGAAAACACUUCAGCAGGCGAGGGGAACGCUCAAGAGAAAGUGUCAUUUCUAUGCAAACCUUCCUGCAGGGGUGAGCUGAAAGGUGAAAAUGUAGUUACCACGACUCCUUGGAGAAGAGAGACACCAUUAGUAGUUUGUCUGGUGAGGAAAGCUUCAACAGUCAUGCUGCUUGUACAGGGGAGAAGACUUCAGUGUUGUCCUCCAAGCCUCUUUGCAACGGGUACUCUGGAUCAAGCAGCAGACCAAGUGUCUUGCAUGUGUGUGUGUGUGUGUGUGUGUGUGUGUGUCUGGCUGGUGACCGAGUACAAUGCUUUACAUCUUUCAGGGAAGGACACAUGAUCUCCCUUCCAUCACACUUGCACAUUCUGCCUGAUUCUUCUCUUUCCUCCUCAUGGCCUUCAACGUUUCCCAAAAGAAAGUCUUCACUAGAAGCAAAGUUACUAAAAAUCACAGUAUAUUAUUAUAAAUAACUUUUAUUUUUACUUACAGAGCCAGAUGUCUUUCUAUGUACCUGAGAUGAAUUAUUAUUAUAUUUUUUACAACAAAGGAGACAGUUCAAGGGCAUAAAAAAUAAUAAUGAAAAAAAAGCCCGCUACUUGCUGCUCCUGAAUGGAGUACAGAGGAAUGACCAUAAAGAGAGGUCAAUUUCGGGAGGAGAGAUGUCCUGAUACCCUCCUCUUGAAAGAGUUCAAGUCGUGGGCAGGAGGAAAUACAGAUGAAGGAAGAUUGUUCCAGAGUUUACCAGCGUGAGGGAUGAAAGAGUGAAGAUGCUGGUUAACUCUUGUAUAAGGGGUUUGGGCAGUAUAGGGAUGAGCUUGAUUAGAAAGUCAUGUGAGGCAAGGCCGCGGGAGGGGGGGAGGCAUGCAGUUAGCAAGUUCAGAAGAGCAGUCAGCGUGAAAAUAUCGAUAGAAGACGGAAAGAAAGGAAAUUUAUUUAUAUGUAGCCAUAGCAGUUGAAGUGGUAGUAGUAGUAGUAGCAGUAGCAGUAGUAGUAGUAGUAAUAGUAGUAGUAGUAGGGAACAACAGCAGAAAUAGCAGUAAUAUAGUAGUAGUAAUAAUUGUAGUAGUAGUAGUAGUAGUAGCAGCAGAAAUAGCAGUAAUGAUUUAAGUAUUGGUACAGUGAAACCAUUUUAGCUUCCUUGGGUCCUGUCCUCCCCUCCACCUUGCCACACAAUCCCAACACCUGUCCCCUCCUCUCAUGUGCUAGCUACAGGCAACACAUGAAAGGAAAAAAUAGAUGUUGGGACUGUGUGGCAGAGCAGAGCGGAGGAAAGGACCUUUGAUGAACCAACGCCCCAAUGGACUCGCUAAAAUGGUUUCACUUUAGUAGUAAGCCAAGUCGAUAUUGCAUGCAUGUGGGUUGCAUAUGCUUAG